UGUAUAUGCUGCUAUGUGCUAUCAUCUACA
rnacentral:piRNA from 1 species